GAUGAACGCUGGCGGCGUGCUUAACACAUGCAAGUCGAACGAAGCAUUUGCGACAGAUUUUUUCGGAAUGAAGUUGCUUAUGACUGAGUGGCGGACGGGUGAGUAACGCGUGGGUAACCUGCCUUGUACUGGGGGAUAGCAGCUGGAAACGGCUGGUAAUACCGCAUAAGCGCACAAUGUUGCAUGACAUGGUGUGAAAAACUCCGGUGGUAUAAGAUGGACCCGCGUCUGAUUAGCUAGUUGGUGAGAUAACAGCCCACCAAGGCGACGACCAGUAGCCGACCUGAGAGGGUGACCGGCCACAUUGGGACUGAGACACGGCCCAGACUCCUACGGGAGGCAGCAGUGGGGAAUAUUGCACAAUGGAGGAAACUCUGAUGCAGCGACGCCGCGUGAGUGAAGAAGUAAUUCGUUAUGUAAAGCUCUAUCAGCAGGGAAGAUAGUGACGGUACCUGACUAAGAAGCUCCGGCUAAAUACGUG
rnacentral:rRNA from 1 species